ACCUACUGUUUAAUUUUGAGGGUUCGUUUUUACGAAUACUCAAAAUUAGCACUUUAAGCAACGGGAUUUAUUCGUUGGCGCUGUGCGUUAGCACUUUGAAAACUGCAUAUAUAUUUAGUGAUAUGACAUCUAAUUUGUAAUAUAUAAAGCUGAUAACUUUUUAAAAUUAUCGAAGUUGAUAGCUUCUAAUCUAUCAAACCUUUUUAACUGGUCAA
rnacentral:misc_RNA from 1 species